rnacentral:sRNA from 1 species
UUGCUAUCUGCAAUAUGAAGAUUCGAACGAACCUGCCGCAGGUUCGGGUCGAACGCAGUGAGACAACGGAGCCGUUUACGGCGACGGCCCGAAGGGCGAGCGAAGCGAGUCAUCCUGCACGACCCACCA